UCUUGGACAAUUGGGGAAACCCUGAUCCAGCUAUCUCGCGUGUUAGAUGAAGGUCGUCUGUUUGUAAUGUACUUUUGUCAGAGACGAAAAUGUAUCGCCUAAUACGGGAUACUGCUGACGGUAUCUGCAGAAUAAGCACCGUCUAACUAUGUGCCAGCAGCCGCGGUAAUACGUAGGGUGCAAGCGUUAAUCGGAAUUACUGGGCGUAAAGCGUGUGUAGGCGGUUCGGAAAGAAAGAUGUGAAAUCCCAGGGCUCAACCUUGGAACUGCAUUUUUAACUGCCGAGCUAGAGUAUGUCAGAGGGGGGUAGAAUUCCACGUGUAGCAGUGAAAUGCGUAGAUAUGUGGAGGAAUACCGAUGGCGAAGGCAGCCCCCUGGGAUAAUACUGACGCUCAGACACGAAAGCGUGGGGAGCAAACAGG
rnacentral:rRNA from 1 species